GAUGAACGCUGGCGGCGUGCCUAAUACAUGCAAGUCGAGCGAACGGACGAGAAGCUUGCUUCUCUGAUGUUAGCGGCGGACGGGUGAGUAACACGUGGAUAACCUACCUAUAAGACUGGGAUAACUUCGGGAAACCGGAGCUAAUACCGGAUAAUAUUUUGAACCGCAUGGUUCAAAAGUGAAAGACGGUCUUGCUGUCACUUAUAGAUGGAUCCGCGCUGCAUUAGCUAGUUGGUAAGGUAACGGCUUACCAAGGCAACGAUGCAUAGCCGACCUGAGAGGGUGAUCGGCCACACUGGAACUGAGACACGGUCCAGACUCCUACGGGAGGCAGCAGUAGGGAAUCUUCCGCAAUGGGCGAAAGCCUGACGGAGCAACGCCGCGUGAGUGAUGAAGGUCUUCGGAUCGUAAAGCUCUGUUAUCAGGGAAGAACAUAUGUGUAAGUAACUGUGCACAUCUUGACGGUACCUAAUCAGAAAGCCACGGCUAACUACGUGCCAGCAGCCGCGGUAAUACGUAGGUGGCAAGCGUUAUCCGGAAUUAUUGGGCGUAAAGCGCGCGUAGGCGGUUUUUUAAGUCUGAUGUGAAAGCCCACGGCUCAACCGUGGAGGGUCAUUGGAAACUGGAAAACUUGAGUGCAGAAGAGGAAAGUGGAAUUCCAUGUGUAGCGGUGAAAUGCGCAGAGAUAUGGAGGAACACCAGUGGCGAAGGCGACUUUCUGGUCUGUAACUGACGCUGAUGUGCGAAAGCGUGGGGAUCAAACAGGAUUAGAUACCCUGGUAGUCCACGCCGUAAACGAUGAGUGCUAAGUGUUAGGGGGUUUCCGCCCCUUAGUGCUGCAGCUAACGCAUUAAGCACUCCGCCUGGGGAGUACGACCGCAAGGUUGAAACUCAAAGGAAUUGACGGGGACCCGCACAAGCGGUGGAGCAUGUGGUUUAAUUCGAAGCAACGCGAAGAACCUUACCAAAUCUUGACAUCCUUUGACAACUCUAGAGAUAGAGCUUUCCCCUUCGGGGGACAAAGUGACAGGUGGUGCAUGGUUGUCGUCAGCUCGUGUCGUGAGAUGUUGGGUUAAGUCCCGCAACGAGCGCAACCCUUAAGCUUAGUUGCCAUCAUUAAGUUGGGCACUCUAAGUUGACUGCCGGUGACAAACCGGAGGAAGGUGGGGAUGACGUCAAAUCAUCAUGCCCCUUAUGAUUUGGGCUACACACGUGCUACAAUGGACAAUACAAAGGGCAGCGAAACCGCGAGGUCAAGCAAAUCCCAUAAAGUUGUUCUCAGUUCGGAUUGUAGUCUGCAACUCGACUACAUGAAGCUGGAAUCGCUAGUAAUCGUAGAUCAGCAUGCUACGGUGAAUACGUUCCCGGGUCU
rnacentral:rRNA from 1 species